rnacentral:rRNA from 1 species
UACGGGGGGGGCAAGCGUUGUUCGGAAUUACUGGGCGUAAAGGGCUCGUAGGUGGCCAACUAAGUCAUACGUGAAAUCCCUCGGCUUAACCGGGGAACUGCGUCUGAUACUGGAUGGCUUGAGGUUGGGAGAGGGAUGCGGAAUUCCAGGUGUAGCGGUGAAAUGCGUAGAUAUCUGGAGGAACACCGGUGGCGAAGGCGGCCAUCUGGACGAGGACUGACGCUGAGAUGCGAAAGCGUGGGGAGCAAACAGG